GAAAUGCGAUAAGUAAUGUGAAUUGCAGAAUUCAGUGAAUCAUCGAAUCUUUGAACGCACCUUGCGCUCCUUGGUAUUCCGAGGAGCAUGCCUGUUUGAGUGUCAUGAAUAUCUCAAUCUUGGAUUUUUUUUAAACGAAGAAUCCAAGACUUGGACUUGGAGGCUGCUGGCGUCUGUCAGCUCCUCUCUAAAUGCAUUAGCAGAGUCUUUCGAGAUGCUGCCUCGGUGUGAUAAUUGUCUACACCGUGUGUAUGCGUCUUGCUUGUUGCUACCCCGCUUGAACAAGGCGGUUGUGUGGCUGGGACAAAGCUUCUAACUGUCUGUGAAGACAAUCUCUGACAUCUGACCUCAAAUCAGGUAGGAUUACCCGCUGAACUUAA
rnacentral:misc_RNA from 1 species